rnacentral:lncRNA from 1 species
AUGCUCUCGGGGCGCCCUGCCCCCAAGCCUGCGGCCCGGCCCGCCCCACCUCCCCGCAGCCCCCGGGCACCGCUGCAGACCAGCCGGGCUGGGAGCACCGCGGGGAGGUGCGCGGGGGGCGGGGGCGGGGACGGGCGUCCCCCGGGACGCGGGCGGUCCCAGCCCUGGGCGCGCAGUCCGCAGCGGGGCACCCAGCAGCCCCGAGGGGCUCCCCGGGCGCCCAGCUCCGACGACGGGCGAGGCGGGCGUGCACCAGCUCCGCUGCUCGGCUCGGCUCGGCCCUGCGCUGGGAACUCGGGCGGGUCCCCACCUGCUUGGGCCCCUUCCUCCUUCCUUCCACAGGUUUCUCCGGGGACUCACGACCCCAGGAAAAAUUCAUCUGAGUGUUUCAUCAUCAUCCUCAUGCGACUGCGUUAUAAAACCAUCUCUUCCCUGCUUUGAUCUAAAAGUCUCUUCUGUCUGUUCUCCUAAGAAAGAUAGAGAGCAAGUUGGAGCCAAGGGAUAGAAGAAAGGCAAUGGACCCCAUUUGGGAGCAGCAAUGCAUGUAAGAUGAACAUUUACCAAGUCUAUGAGGAAUGAAUAAAUGAAUAAAUGAAAGAAUGAAAGGAAGUCA